UACAGAGGUCUCAAGCGUUGUUCGGAUUCAUUGGGCGUAAAGGGCGCGUAGGCUGCGGGGCAAGUCGGGUGUGAAAUCUCAGAGCUCAACUCUGAAACUGCACUCGAUACUGCUUUGCUUGAGGACUGGAGAGGAGAUUGGAAUUCACGGUGUAGUAGUGAAAUGCGUAGAUAUCGUGAGGAAGACCAGUGGCGAAGGCGGAUCUCUGGACAGUUCCUGACGCUGAGGCGCGAAGGCCAGGGGAGCAAACGGG
rnacentral:rRNA from 1 species